GUCCGCAAACAACAACUCCGAGAUUUACCGCCACCUACAGGCGCUAAGAUCCUGAGUGGCCACACUUGAGUCGUCUGCGCUUCAUCCUCCAUGAUAAAUGCAGAUUCCACCUGUGGGAAGGAUUGGUCAUCUCUGGAUCCAAAUGAAAAGCUUCCUCCAGGUGCGUCGGCUUCAAAUGGACUGGCAAUGAGACGCCCACGUCACCAAAGAGCCAGGGAAGUUUUACGCUCAGAUACUUGACCAACCAUCAGUGAUGUUUACACAUUGCUUGAUUCGAUAAUAGCACACCUUACUGAUUACAUGGAAACUGAUUAUAUAUUCGUUGAAGAAGAUAUGACAAAUGUUAUACACAGAAAUUGCACAUGGCAGCAGUAUAUGGAGGCGUCAUUGUGCUAUGGUGGGGCAUUCAGCGAUGGGUGUAAUAAAACCUGAAAACACUAGAUUCUGCAGGGGGUCCCGCUCUAAUGAGUUACUAUGAAGCUCAUGCCAAUAAGCUCCAAGAUCAUGAAUUAAUUAGCUGAAGAUUUUCUCAGGUGAACCAUGAUGUUAGAGAAGCUUAGUCCUUUCAUUAUUAAAACACCUCCAGCUACUGUUGCUCAGAACACUAGAAGAAAAAGAAAAUUAUCAAACUAAAAAAUCUUUUUACCUUUCAUGGUGCAAACACGACACAUCACUCGUGUGUCCUUUUUUUCAUUUUGAAAUAAUGUAACAGACACUCAGAGAUUGUGAACAUCUGGACACAGUGGCAUGCAGCCAAGUGAGAAUUAUGAAA